AGAAAUGACGGCAACUCAAAGCGAUUGACGGCAACUCACAGGAGUUGACGGAGACUCAGAGGAGUUGACGAGAUUCUGUCCGGAAUUAACUGGCUCUGGUUAAUACCUGGGGUCGAUGACGGUACCGGAAGAAUAAGGACCGGCUAACUACGUGCCAGCAGCCGCGGUAAUACGUAGGGUCCAAGCGUUAAUCGGAAUUACUGGGCGUAAAGCGUGCGCAGGCGGUUGUGCAAGACCGAUGUGAAAUCCCCGAGCUUAACUUGGGAAUUGCAUUGGUGACUGCACGGCUAGAGUGUGUCAGAGGGGGGUAGAAUUCCACGUGUAGCAGUGAAAUGCGUAGAGAUGUGGAGGAAUACCGAUGGCGAAGGCAGCCCCCUGGGAUAACACUGACGCUCAUGCACGAAAGCGUGGGGAGCAAACAGGAUUAGAUACCCUGGUAGUCCACGCCCUAAACGAUGUCAACUAGUUGUUGGGGAUUCAUUUCCUUAGUAACGUAGCUAACGCGUGAAGUUGACCGCCUGGGGAGUACGGUCGCAAGAUUAAAACUCAAAGAAAUUUGACGGA
rnacentral:rRNA from 1 species